AUGGGCGACAUAGAAGUCGACAGCAAUGGUGAAGGCAAGCUCGGCGGCGGUCUUAUGACAAAUGGGCCCUUCACGAUUUCAUACAACCAGCUCAUCCUGGUGGGUUGCAACGUCCAGGCAACGCUCAAGAACGGCAAUGUGACCAUGAGUGGCUGUUCUUCUGUCUGCAAAAACGGCGAUGGACUCGCUCAGGCGCGAUCCACACUCGAAGCAGGCACGCAAUGCUCCGGCAAUGGCUGCUGCCAGUCGGAUAUUGUAUUCAACCCUGAGGUAGCAGGAAUGCUUUCUAACAACACAUCCUAUGACGUACAGCUCAAAUGGUUUGGUUGGAACCGCAGCGCGGACCAGGCCUCGCCGGCGCACGUCUUCGUUACGAGUUACGAUUGGUUCAGCAGUACAGCUAUCUUCCACGAGCUAUUACGAACAGACGCCCCCGAGUCAGCAGAUGCAAUACAAGUUCCCAUUUGGCUGCGCUGGGAGGUCGUUGGCCAUGGCGCAGAAUGCUCCAACGUCUGUAAGAGCAAGCACAGCAACUGCAUAAAGGGUAAGAGAGGCUACACAUGCUCCUGCAAACACGGCUACCAAGGGAAUCCCUACAUCACCGACGGAUGCAAAGAUAUUGAUGAGUGCAAAGAGGGAGGAUACACGAAGUGCUACGGUGAUUGUAUCAAUUUGAAUGGUUCAUAUCAUUGCCGGUGUCCUCCAGAAACCCAUGGAGACCCUACCAUUCCCGGUGGCUGUCCCAGUCCCGUCCCAGGUAACUGCAGCACGUCCUGCGGUGAUGUACACUUGCCAUACCCCUUCGGCAUUGGCUCUGCCGAUUGCUACUGGCCAGGGUUCAGCCUCACCUGUGAUAGAAGCCAACAACCAGCAAAGCCACUCCUCGUCCUCCGCGGCAUGGAGGACUCCUAUCAUGUCACGAAGAUCUCCCUCCAGAAUAACACGGUGCACGUCCUCCGCACCAACGGCAUCAUGCCUAUUCCCAGCGUACCAAGCGGUCUUUAUAUGCUUGGCAACUAUUCAGAGGCGCCCUACUCGCUAUCAACCAGCAACGAGCUCAUCCUAUCAGGUUGCAACUUUCAGGCCACACUGACCGGGGAUGGUGUUGAGGAUUUCAUCAGCGGUUGUGCCUCCUUUUGCCCCUCCAACGCCAGUGACACCUACGUCGAGACGGCAGUGGAGCAUAGAGGCAGAUACUGCUAUGGCAUGGGCUGUUGCCAGGCGCAUAUCUCCUUGUCGUCCAGUGGCUUGCCCACCAAGUUGAAUUUCCAAAAUCUCAACAAGUACAGUGACCAUAAGGCAACGUCGCAGCACCCAUACAUGCUAAUCGCGGAGGAGGGGUGGUUCGACCAACAACGGUUGUCCAUAAAUAUGGUAGUGCAGGAAGAAUUCGAAACGAACAAGGUACAGGUUCCCCAAGUUCUGCACUGGGAGGUCAUGCAGGGCUUACCACGACCAGCUGAUGUGAAGGCGCAUCCAGGCUGUUCAUCGGAAGUAGCCCGCAAGCUCUGCAAGAGCAAGAACAGCAACUGCAAACGAGGGAGCAGAGGCUAUUUAUGCCAGUGCAUGGAUGGCUCCAACAAGCCCGGGAGCAACCCCUACCUCGCCAACGGAUGCAAAGGUGACCGCAAACCCUUAUCUACAGGUGUAUACCUCGGCAUAGGAGUUGCUGUUGGGGCAGGCAUCAUACUAUUUGUUCUUGCUGGAUCCUUCACACAUAAGAACUUCAAACAUCGAAGAGCACAGAUGUUGAAACAGAAGUUCUUCGAAAAAAAUCAUGGACAAUUGUUGCAACAAUUGGUAUCACAAAGAGCUGAUAUUGCAGAAAGAAUGAUUAUAACCUUAGACGAGCUUGAGAAGGCAACAAACAAGUUUGAUAAAGCUCGUGAGCUUGGUGGUGGGGGGCAUAGUACAGUCUACAAAGGGAUCCUAUCAGAUCUCCAUGUUGUAGCCAUCAAGAAACCAAAGGCGGCCAUUCAAAAGGAGAUAGAUGAAUUCAUUAAUGAGGUUGCUAUUCUAUCACAGAUCAACCAUAGAAAUGUUGUAAAACUCUAUGGUUGUUGCCUUGAAACAGAGGUCCCCAUGUUGGUCUAUGAGUUUGUAUCCAACGGUACCCUUUAUGAUCAUCUUCAUGUUGAUGGGCCAAAAUCGUUGUCAUGGAAUGAUAGGCUACGGAUAGCAACUGAGACUGCCAGAUCUUUAGCCUAUCUUCACUCAACAGCUUCAGUACCCAUCAUCCAUAGAGAUAUCAAGUCUGUUAACAUACUUUUGGAUGAUACUCUAACAACAAAGGUCGCAGACUUCGGAGCUUCAAGGUAUGUUCCGUUGGAUAGAUCAGGGAUCACAACAAGAGUGCAAGGUACAAGAGGAUAUCUAGACCCCGGGUAUUUCUAUACUGGGCGUCUCACAGAAAAAAGUGAUGUGUACAGCUUUGGUGUCCUGCUUCUGGAGUUGUUUACUAGAAAGAAACCAUUUUCAUACAUCUCUUCUGAAGAUGAAGGCCUUGUUACACAUUUUUGUACCUUAUUCACACAAGGCAAUUUGUCAGCAAUUCUGGAUAAGCAAGUUAUGGAAGAGGGAGGCAGAGAAAUGGAAGAAGUCACGGCACUUGCAGCAAUGUGUAUAGCAUUACGAGGAGAGGAUCGUCCGUCCAUGAAGCAAGUGGAGAUCAAACUCGAAGGCACUCAAGCAUACAGGGGAUAUGAGGAGGGUGAUCUAAGAAAUCGUCCACGGACUGCAGAUGGAAGUAGGGGCGAAGUAUUGUCCAGGCAAUAUAGUAUGGAAGAGGAGUUCACUUCAUCUUCAAGGUAUCCUCGGUAG
rnacentral:rRNA from 1 species